CCCUUAGAUGUUCUGGGCCGCACGCGCGCUACACUGAUGAAUUCAACGAGCACUAACCUGUGCCGAAAGGUUCGGGUAAUCUUGUGAAAUUUCAUCGUGAUGGGGAUUGAUUAUUGCAAUUUUUAAUCAUAAACGAGGAAUGCCUAGUAAGCGUGAGUCAUCAGCUCACGUUGAUUACGUCCCUGCCCUUUGUACACACCGCCCGUCGCUCCUACCGAUUGAAUGUGUCAGUGAAAAGUUCGGAUUGGAGAUAGGAGACGGCAACGUAUCCUAUUUCCGAGAAAAUCUUUAAACUUUCCCAUUUAGAGGAAGGAGAAGUCGUAACA
rnacentral:rRNA from 1 species